rnacentral:lncRNA from 1 species
AAUAAGCAGCUAGUUACCUGUUGCUGUACUAUUGUAGCAAAUAUCCGUAUAUAUUAGCAUCAGAAACCCUGCAGGGGUUAUUAUGGCAGGGACACCCAGCAGCUGUUUUGGCAGCUUGCUGGUGUGGGACACUUGGAGCCAUGGGCAUCUGUUUUUAUUUGAGCUCACACAGCUUGUGAGGAUGCUUGCUGGUAUUUCUGUUUCAGUGGGAGAUAAAUGAGGAUGUUUUUAAUAGGGUUUGAGACAAUUGCAGACCACGCUGAACCAGCAGUGCUGGAGGGGAUAGACAUAGACUGCUGUUGUUCUCAGGUCUGGCACAUGGGGUAAGAGGGCUAGGGAAGGUCUUUUAGUUUUGAUUUUACACACAUCUCCAGGCUGUGUUUUGAGCUGGCAGAAAGCAGUGCUGGAGAAGUGGCUAGAAAUAGCUGGAGUGAUGAUUUCAGCAAUGACCUGCCUGGGCUAGAGCUGCAUGACCUCUAAUGUUAACUAAGAGAUGCACUCUUUACUGUCAGGAACAACUGAAAAAUGGAAAGGAUAUUGGCUUCCCUGGGUGGGCAAAUUCUUCUUGACUUGUUUGUUCCCUGGAUUUUCCACAAGUGGAAGCUGUGAGGUGUAGGACCAACCCAUGGGUGGCAACUCCAGGAAGGGAAACAGCCAUUUUGAGAAGUCAUUUACAGACUGCCAGUCCCACACUCUGUCAGAGACCUGAGCUGUUGUUUGCCAUCUCAUAUCCCCUUGCUCAGACCUGCCCCUUCUACCCUUUCAACACCACACAGCGUGUUCUGCUCUUUCUCUGCAGGAGACAGACACUGGUGCAGGACCUGAUUUGUGUUUUGUCAUCCAGAUUUGGCAGCAACCAGCUGGCUUGCAGAGGAAGAGAUGCUGUGGUGCUUGGCUGCAGUGGGGAUUCCUCCAAGGGAGACUAUGCACAGCAAGAACAGAACAGAUAUAGAAUGACCAUGGAUUUACCCUGUUAAGACCCAGUCUGGAGCAGCUGACUUGACAAGUGCUGCUGUGACCACUGUCAUUCUGAUCAAGAUCAAGCUGGUUUUGUGGUUCAGGGGGUUAUUUGAUGGAUCAUUGAAUAGAAAAAAUAUUACAGAGGAACUGAGGCUAACCCUUGUAAAACUGCUGGGGCAUGUGAAGCAGACCUGUGUUGAGUACAUCUCUCAAGUACACUUAUUGGACAAGAAGUGGGAGCAAGCACAAGGAAGACUGUGCAGGCUGUCAAGCAAAUAAAUGAAUUUAUCCCUUUGUAUUUAAAAUGCA